ensembl:lncRNA
UAUCCCCCCUUGGGUCCCUUAUGUCCCCAUAUCCCCACCCUGGGGUCCCUUAUGUCCCAUAUCCCCCCCCUGGGGUCCCUUAUGUCCCCAUAUCUCCUCCCUUGGGGUCCCCAUAUCCCCCCCCUUGGGGUCCCCAUACCCAUUGGGGUCCCUUCUAUGGGGCUGUCCAUUGGGUGGGCAUUGACACCCAUGGGUGCCCCCCAAUGUCCCCCCCCCCCCCCCAUAGAGCAAAGAGGAGGUGAUGGCCGUGAGGCUGCGCGAGGCCGACAGCAUGGCGGCCCUGGCUGAGAUGAGACAGAGGGUGGCCGAGCUGGAGAUCCAGGUUUGUGGGGUGGGGGGGGGACAUAUAGGGUGACAUAUAGGGUGGGAUAUAGGGUGGGAUAUAGGGUGGGAUAUAGGGUGGGAUAUGGGUGACGGGGUGACCCCUCUGCGCCCCAUAGAGGGAGGAGGGGAUGAUCCAAGGGCAGCUCAACCACUCGGACGCCGCUCAGUACAUCCGGCAGCUGAAGGAUCACAUCGACGAGCUCAAGGCCGAGAUCCGGCUCCUUCGCGGCCCGCUCUCUUUCAGCUCCGUGGGGCUGGGGCGACGUUUGGGGGACGACGAUUCUUUGGGGUCUUCGGACGAGGAGCUGCCGGCGUUUGCUCUGCCCCACAACCACGGGGGGGACAUGGGGGACAUCAUGGGGGACAUCAUGGCCGACAGCAGCGACAGCGACAACGACGGGGCCGCCACCGCACCAUGACCCCAUAGGGGACAUCGAUGGCACCGUGACCCCAUAGGGGACAUCGAUGGCACCGUGACCCCAUAGGGACAGUGGGGACAAUGGGGGACAUCGAUGAUGCCAUUGACCCUAUGGGGGGACAGUGGGGGACAAUGGGGGGCAAUGGGGGGCAAUGGGGGGCAAUUACGGCACCCUGACCCCAUUGGAGGACAUUGGGGUCAAUGGGGGACAUUGAUGACGCCAUGACCCCAUAGGGGACAUCGAUGGCACCAUGACCCCAUAGCGGGACAUCAAUGGCACCGUGACCCCAUAGGGACAGUGGGGACAAUGGGGGACAUCAAUGAUGCCAUUGACCCUAUGGGGGGACACUGGGGGACAAUGGGGGGCAGUUAUGGCACCCUGACCCCAUAGGGGGACAUUGGGGUCAAUGGGGGACAUCAAUGAUGCCAUUGACCCCAUAGGGGACAUCGAUGGCACCGUGACCCCAUAGGGGACAUUGGGGACAAUGGGGGGCGUCAAUGAUGUCAUUGACCCUAUGGGGGGACAUUGGGGUCAAUGGGGGACAUCAAUGAUGCCAUGACCCCAUAGGGGACAUCGAUGGCACCAUGACCCCAUAGGGGACAGUGGGGACAAUGGGGGCAACUACGGCACCCUGACCCCAUAGGGACAGUGGGGGACACCAACGAUGCCAUUGACCCUAUGGGGGGACAGUGGGGGCAACUAUGGCACCCUGACCCCAUAGGGGGACAUUGGGGUCAAUGGGGGGCAUCAAUGAUGCCAUUGACCCUAUGGGGGGACAUUGGGGUCAAUGGGGGACAAUGGGGGACAUCAAUGAUGCCAUUGACCCUAUGGGGGGACAGUGGGGGACAAUGGGGGGCAAUUACGGCACCCUGACCCCAUAGGAGGACAUUGGGGUCAAUGGGGGACAUGGAUGAUGCCAGGACCCCAUGGGGGCAGUGUGACCCUAUGGGGGGACAUUGGGGUCAAUGGGGGACAUCAAUGAUGCUGUGACCCUAUAGGGGGACAGUG